rnacentral:rRNA from 1 species
GAAUCUGCCUUGUAGUGGGGGACAACUUGUGGAAACGCAAGCUAAUACCGCAUACGCCCUAAGGGGGAAAGGAGGGGAUCUUCGGACCUUUCGCUAUAAGAUGAGCCUGCGUUGGAUUAGCUAGUUGGUGGGGUAAAGGCCUACCAAGGCGACGAUCCAUAGCUGGUCUGAGAGGACGAUCAGCCACACUGGGACUGAGACACGGCCCAGACUCCUACGGGAGGCAGCAGUGGGGAAUAUUGGACAAUGGGCGAAAGCCUGAUCCAGCAAUACCGCGUGUGUGAAGAAGGCCUUAGGGUUGUAAAGCACUUUCAAUUGGGAGGAAAAAAUAACAGUUAAUACCUGUUGUCUUGACAUUACCUUUAGAAGAAGCACCGGCUAACUCCGUGCCAGCAGCCGCGGUAAUACGGAGGGUGCGAGCGUUAAUCGGAAUUACUGGGCGUAAAGAGUGCGUAGGCGGCUCGUUAAGUCAGAUGUGAAAGCCCUGGGCUCAACCUGGGAACUGCAUUUGAAACUGGCGAGCUAGAGUUGAGUAGAGGUAAGUGGAAUUUCAGGUGUAGCGGUGAAAUGCGUAGAUAUCUGAAGGAACACCAGUGGCGAAGGCGACUUACUGGACUCAAACUGACGCUGAGGUACGAAAGCGUGGGUAGCAAACAGGAUUAGAUACCCUGGUAGUCCACGCCGUAAACGAUGUCAACUAGCCGUUGGUUCUAUAUACAGAAUUAGUGGCGCAGCUAACGCAUUAAGUUGACCGCCUGGGGAGUACGGCCGCAAGGUUAAAACUCAAAUGAAUUGACGGGGGCCCGCACAAGCGGUGGAGCAUGUGGUUUAAUUCGAUGCAACGCGAAGAACCUUACCUACCCUUGACAUCCAGGGAAUC